UUUAAUUGAAAUAUUUUAUUAUUUUGUUAAAUUUAUUAACAGUAAAUUUUUUGCAAUUAAAG
rnacentral:tRNA from 1 species